rnacentral:rRNA from 1 species
UACGUAGGGGGCAAGCGUUGUCCGGAAUCAUUGGGCGUAAAGCGCGUGUAGGCGGUUCGGUAAGUCUGCUGUGAAAGUCCAGGGCUCAACCCUGGGAUGCCGGUGGAUACUGUCGGACUAGAGUACGGAAGAGGCGAGUGGAAUUCCCGGUGUAGCGGUGAAAUGCGCAGAUAUCGGGAGGAACACCGAUGGCGAAGGCAGCCCC